UACAGAGGUGGCAAGCGUUGUUCGGAAUUACUGGGCGUAAAGGGCGCGUAGGCGGCCGCCUAAGUCAGACGUGAAAUCCCCCGGCUCAACCUGGGAACUGCGUCUGAUACUGGGUGGCUUGAAUGCGGGAGAGGGAUGUGGAAUUCCAGGUGUAGCGGUGAAAUGCGUAGAUAUCUGGAGGAACACCGGUGGCGAAGGCGGCAUCCUGGACCGACAUUGACGCUGAGGCGCGAAAGCUAGGGGAGCAAACGGG
rnacentral:rRNA from 1 species